CCCUUAGAUGUUCUGGGCCGCACGCGCGCUACACUGACGAUGGCAACGAGUUUUUCCUUCGCCGAAAGGUGUGGGUAAUCUUUUGAAACAUCGUCGUGCUGGGGAUAGAUCAUUGCAAUUUUUGAUCUUGAACGAGGAAUUCCUAGUAAGCGCGAGUCAUCAGCUCGCGUUGAUUACGUCCCUGCCCUUUGUACACACCGCCCGUCGCUACUACCGAUUGAAUGGUUUAGUGAGGACUCCUGAUUGGCGCCGCCGCCCCGGCAACGGCGCAGCGGACUGCCGAAAAGUUGUUCAAACUUGAUCAUUUAGAGGAAGUAAAAGUCGUAACA
rnacentral:rRNA from 1 species